GACAACGAAAAUCAAAAAUCAUAACAACGACUGGAGGUUGCUGUUAACCGCUGCUGUAGCAGUAUCAUGUCAGAACUGAAGGGCAUAACUUAAUUGAAAGAACAGCAGAUAACUGCAUUGAAGGCUUUUCUCGGGGGAGAAGAUGUUUUUCGUUCUUCUCCCGAAUGGGUUUGCCAAGCACUUGAUUUACCAGCUAGUUCCACUAGUAGUCAAGAAAAUGGGACGGACCAAGAACCCAAUUCUCAUUGUUGUGUUAACGUGGGUCGCUUUAAUGGAGGUUCACAUCACAUUCAAAUGGGGAGAGGUCGCAAAAGGGGAGCGAGCCAUCAGAGAGCUUUGCAGAGUUGGGAAAACUCUGAUCCAUAGCCAAAGAGAGUACACCUGUGUUGGCACUGACAACAUCCGUGCCUACGUUGUCAACAACAUCCAGUAUUCCGAUUGCAACAUACAAUUUACCUGAAGACUUUCUUGGUCUAUAGUAAUUAGUUAGUUAAAUGACAGCUGAGAAAUAAGACUGUUAUUGUUUGUGUUGUUACUUGUCCAAACGUACCAGAUUAAAACUCAUAAUUUUUGCUCAA